rnacentral:tRNA from 1 species
UCAUAAACAAAAAAUUAAGAUUUAGAAUCUUUCACUGUGGGAAAUUCCCACUUUGUUUAAUGAA